UACGUAGGGGGCUAGCGUUGUCCGGAAUUACUGGGCGUAAAGGGCGCGUAGGCGGUUCGCUAAGUUGGAUGUGAAAACUCUGGGCUCAACCCAGAGCCUGCAUCCAAAACUGGCGGGCUAGAGUUCUGGAGGGGGUAGCGGAAUUCCUGGUGUAGCGGUGAAAUGCGUAGAUAUCAGGAGGAACACCGGUGGCGAAGGCGGCUACCUGGACAGAAACUGACGCUGAGGCGCGAAAGCUAGGGGAGCAAACAGG
rnacentral:rRNA from 1 species